rnacentral:pre_miRNA from 1 species
UUGCUGACACCAGAUGGCGCCAUCGGAUGAGAAGGGCUUCUCCUCGUCCGAUGGCGCCAUCUGGUGUCGGCGA